rnacentral:rRNA from 1 species
UAGUGCGAUAUAAGCAGUUUGCUUGUUAUCCUUAUUAUAAAAACCUGUGGUCUAUAGAGAAUUGUGCCGUUCCGAUUGGAAUGUGUGCAAUGUUUAACUAGUUGCCCUAAGGCUGGUUGGAUUUCCGAAAGGGAAUGUGAUGAGCGAGUGAUUGUGUGCUUCAAGCAUCAUAGAUCACACUUGGGGCAAUAGUGUCUAUAAAACGCGUCUAUUAUCAAUACUUUGUUUUGGGUGAUUUAGCAAAUUUUUUGAUUACAAAAAAAUACAACUGCUAGCAACGGAUCACUCGGUUCUCGCGUCGAUGAAGAACGUAGCAAACUGCGAAAAUUAAUGCGACUUGCAACGUGUGAGCCAUCGAGUUUUUGAACGCAUAUUGCACCUGUUGAUUUCUAACAACAGGUAUGCCUGUCUGAGUAUCAAUAAUAACUCAAACAAUUAGAAAUUGUUGUGUUUUCGGAUGCAGCGGUUUAUUUGUUUGUUUAAAGCGUACGCUUGUUCUCCUUGCGAGGAUGGGAGUGCGUGUGAUGAGUGUUCAAUGCCUUGUGCGCUGAUCAUUCGAAAUCUAGCAUGUUUUGGGGUCGUUAGCAACUAGUUCGAGUCUCCUUGAUAACUCUGUUGUCAUUACAUUGUAGUUUGCGCUUUCGGGUGCAUUCUCUUGUAGCGAUGAUAUGACCUUCUCGGAUGUAUUCUGUUUUUAAUAACCAGGACUAGGUAGUCUCUUUCAUUACAUGUCGCAAUUAGUAUUGCACUAUAUUGCAACCCAAAGAAUGGCGUGGUGUUCGAGGUCGCAAGACUUCCCUGGUAAUAGAACGAAAGUCGAUGGCGAGCAAUCGUGAAUCCAUCCUCUACUUACCAUGACCCCUUCUUCCAAACUCGAUCUCAGAUUAGGCAGGAUGACCCG